rnacentral:tRNA from 1 species
GCGCCCAUAGCUCAACUGGAUAGAGUACUUGACUACGAAUCAAGCGGUUAGAGGUUCGACUCCUCUUGGGGCA